GGCUGUCAUUGGCUGGGUACACUGGAGACUCAUCUGGAGUGCUUUGUGGGUAUCAGCAUUUUUUAUACUUGCUGCAUUGCUUCCAAGCUUGGAUUUUCUUCUGUGAUGGAAAAAGCAUUAAGCAUGAUUAUGUGAAGAAGAACUGCAUGCUGGAGUGGAGUGGAGUGCUUCAUUUACCAGAUGAUUUCACUGUGGCUUUCUGUUCCAAUACAGCAUCCCUCUCAGGAAUUCCUUGCACACAGGGUUCUGUCUGUGUCUCGUCACCUGGAGAGUUUGUGUGCUGUGCUGGGCAGUGCUGACACGCUCUUUGCUCCUGCUGUGUGCCUGCAUCUCCCUGGGUCUGUGCCUGAAACGAGUCUGCUUCUGAUUCAACAACCUUGGUUGCAGAGUUGUCAACAUGUGACAGUAUAAGACUUUACCUCCCCAUAGCUAAAGAAAAGCACCAGUGAGU